rnacentral:lncRNA from 1 species
GCCACCAGUCGCCCCAACUUCCAGAUCCCGCCCAUCAGCGCCUCAAAAGGUCAGUAUUUUUUUUCUAUUUGUGCAUGAAUUCUCGUGAAAUAGUAGCAGUCUCGAUUGUGCAGAAGCACCAAGUGCGUCAAAUUUUCUGUUCCUUGCAUUUAACUGUUUGACCCAAUUUUUGAUAUGGUGUAUCAGAAAUUCAGAAUAGAAUAAGUUAUGAUGAUUGUAGGAGUGAUCUGCGGCUCUGAAAUUAUGUGAUUUAGGUAGAUUUCGAUACAAAAGCUCUUCUUGGGUAAAUCAAUUAGCCAACAAAUCUGAAAGAAAUUUAAAGGAUGCUAAUUAGAGUCUGAUUUGCGUCAUACUAGUAUAUUCUGAAGAGCAACUUGCUGCUUGUUACUGCAAAUGGCAAGAAGAGUACGCAUUCAAUGCUUUUACUACUGGUCUGGUUUGCUUUUGGAGUAGAUUACAGCUUUAAUAUGUAGUUAGUUCAUUUUUUGGGCGGUUCAAGCGAAUCAUUGUUUUUGAAUUCACAGUGUCUAUUUGAUUUUCAUGGGGUUGAAAGGGUCUGUCUAAAGUAUUAACCUAAUAUAACAAAACUCUAAGGCAUAAUCAAGUUUGUUAUUGAGUCCAUGGAAUCCAAUUUCUACAAUAAUUCAACUUUCAACACAUAUUCUUGGAAAACAGUUUGUGUUCUUUAAUCCAAUUUGUACAUUGCCCACUAGUGAUUUUAGUGCCAUAAAAGGAGCUGAUAAGUUGCAUAUUUUCAGUGAUGUUUCAGUUUAUGCUGUAGCCCGAUGUGGCAUGAGAUGAACUCAAACCUAAUUUAUUUCUACUGAAUCUGACGAGCUUUUUACACUUGUGUUACUGUUUCCAUCUGGGGAUGAAAAAAUUCUAUCGUCAGAUUUCAGCUGACAAGGUAAAUAUUGCCAGUCCCUCAUCGCCGCGCUGGUGCUGCUGCCUCCAUUCCUGGUUCCUCUUUGUCGUGCAAGGCAACAAAGGAGAGUCACCAUGAAUGCGAGGCUCGCCACCCCCGUGUUCACGACUGCUCCUGAGUCCUGACGAGGCAGAGGUCGUUGCUGGCAAUCAUUCAGCGAGCAUGCUGUAAUAAAAUGAUUUUUACAAACAAAACUAUAAAAAAUGAAUCUGAGAAAUGUUCCGAGAUCGCCGUACUGUGUUUCAAAAACAAAUGUAGUUGAUCCAAGUCAGCGAGCAUGCUGUGAUGAAAUGUAAAAACAAAUAUGGUUAAACAAAUCUGCCGAGAUCGCCGCACACCAAGUAUUUUAAAUGUGCUCACCAUUGGGGUAUGAUCAUUGUUCCUUUUAGAUGUCUAUAGUACAAUUUACAUCAACGCUUCUAGCCAAUUUUAUGUUGGAUGGUUAGGAUGCGAAGUUAAUUUAAUAUCUGAUACCACUUUGAAAGUUCAUGUGGUAAAAAAUGGAAUGAUUUACAAGGCUACUGAAAUAAUCCUUUGCUUACUGGUCACAACCACAAGAAAAGCAGCAGCUGCUCAUGAACAUGAAUUAAUAAGUAAAACAUAUGAAGAAGAUGAUUCUCAUUGUUAUGUGUCCCCCUUGGUUAUACACACUUUUUUUCUUCUAAAUUCUUCCCUCCUCCUUCCUUUUUCCUGUAUAUAAUUUUGGGAUACGUCUGGUAGAAUAUUUUGUGUAAUCAUAGGUACAAAGAGCCAAUUACUCGCCAUUAAGAGAAGAAAUGCAUAGCUCCGACUUUAUUUGUAAAACGGGGUGAAAGCCUAUUUCGAGAGAAAUGCAUAGCUCUGCUUGCCACUGUGUCUGGCAAUUAUGGAAAUCCAUAAGAAACUACUCCCUCUGUCCCAUAAUAUAAGAGCGUCACGCUCUUAUAUUAUGAGACAGAGGGAGUAGAUGUCAUUUGCUAUUCUGCAUCAGGUUUGGCAACAGAUAGAGUGGUACUACAAACUGGUGCUGAGACACGGAAGCAAGCUCUUUUGGGUGAAGUGAAGCUCACCCUUCCUUUCCUAACAAUCAGCAGAAAAAUUCAGGAUUGGUGCAAAGAAAGGUAAACCUGAAGGCUUCAGUUCUAUUAAUAGGAUAUGAAUGUUUUAAUUGCUGCAGAGAUUGUAGGACACAUGAAAUUGAUGGGCAAUCUGUGGCCACCCGCAAAUUAAGUUGCUUGAAGACCAAGUUUAAACCUGUACGAUGUUAGUGAAGUUGCGCCUCCAUGUCUCUUCACUUCCUGAUGUAAUUAGUCUGGUAGUAUUCAGUUCUGUAAUAACGAUUUAUGAUAUAUUUUUUAUGCUGCUGGUUACCGAUUUGCCAAGUGAUAUUCGAUGUUCUCCAAACGAAUUUUAGUAGUAUCAUACGGAUGCUUUUUAUUACUUGAGAUAUUUACUGGAAACAUCAGUUACUUUCUGUAUGGAAUCUAUUUAUCAUAUGGCUCAGUUGUGGUUUUAGGAUUUAAGGCCACCAGGCAGAGUUCUUGUAUUGGCUCUCAGUUUCUGUACAUUAAUGCCUUUCACGGGGCUGAUUUUCCCCUUUUAGAUUGGUUAUUAUCAUAAUCUGUACGUUGCCUAAUAUAGCUUUUUCUUAAGUCAUGGUUGUACAAAUGCCUCAUGUACGCUAUGACGUCAAAAAAAUGCCUCACACUACAUUGGUCAUCACUUCUUUAAGCCUGUUCUGAAAUUUUCUUAUGCCAAAAGUGCCUUGUGUGCAAAAUGAAUUAAUGGACCAUUAUCGCUACCAAAAUUACCUUGUACAAAACGAUUAGUGGAUCAGGUGCAGAACGACUAUUAAAAGACUAGUGAAAAUACCUAAUGUACAUUAUAGGAAUGCAAC